CCCUUAGAUGUUCUGGGCUGCACGCGUGCUACACUGAUUAUUUCAACAAGUGUUUUAACUGGAGAGUUCGCGUAAUCCUGAAAUGUUAUCGUGAUGGGAGUAGAGUAUUGUAUUUGUUAAUCUUUAACGAGGAAUUCCUAGUAAGUGUAGGUUUAUAAGUUGUUCUGAUUACGUCCCUGCCCUUUGUACACACCGCCCGUCGCUUCUACCGAUUGAUUGAUCCGGUGAAUUACAUAGAAUUUUGCGUUUUACAUGACGGAAGACGAAGUGUUUUAAACCUUAUCAUUUAGAGGAAGGAGAAGUCGUAACA
rnacentral:rRNA from 1 species